CAUUGAAACACCAGUUCCCAUUGAAGUUAAGCAAUGUCGAGCUUGGUCAGUACCUCGAUGGGUGACCACUUGUGAAUACCAGGUGUUGCAAG